rnacentral:rRNA from 1 species
UACGAAGGGGGCUAGCGUUGCUCGGAAUCACUGGGCGUAAAGCGCACGUAGGCGGAUCUUUAAGUCAGGGGUGAAAUCCCAAGGCUUAACCUUGGAACUGCCUUUGAUACUGGGGAUCUCGAGUCCGGAAGAGGUGAGUGGAACUGCGAGUGUAGAGGUGAAAUUCGUAGAUAUUCGCAAGAACACCAGUGGCGAAGGCGGCUCACUGGUCCGGUACUGACGCUGAGGUGCGAAAGCGUGGGGAGCAAACAGG